rnacentral:rRNA from 1 species
GAUGAACGCUGGCGGCGUGCCUAAUACAUGCAAGUCGAGCGAACAGACGAGGAGCUUGCUCCUCUGACGUUAGCGGCGGACGGGUGAGUAACACGUGGAUAACCUCCCUAUAAGACUGGGAUAACUUCGGGACACCGGAGCUAAUACCGGAUAAUAUAUUGCACCGCAUGGUUCAAUAGUGAAAGACGGUUUUGCUGUCUCUUAUAGAUGGAUCCGCGCCGCAUUAGCUAGUUGGUAAGGUAACGGCUUACCAAGGCAACGAUGCGUAGCCGACCUGCGAGGGUGAUCGGCCACACUGGAACGGGGACACGGUCCAGACGCCUACGGGAGGCAGCAGUAGGGAAUCGUCCGCAAUGGGCGAAAGCCUGACAGAGCAGCGCCGCGUGAGUGAUGAAGGUCUUCGGAGCGUAAAACUCUGUUAUUGGGGAAGAACAAAUGUGUAAGGAACUAAGCACGUCGUGACGGUAACUAAUCAGAAAGCCACGGCUAACUACGUG